ACGGGUGAGUAACACGUGGGAACGUGCCUUUAGGUUCGGAAUAGCUCCUGGAAACGGGUGGUAAUGCCGAAUGUGCCCUUCGGGGGAAAGAUUUAUCGCCUUUAGAGCGGCCCGCGUCUGAUUAGCUAGUUGGUGAGGUAAUGGCUCACCAAGGCGACGAUCAGUAGCUGGUCUGAGAGGAUGACCAGCCACAUUGGGACUGAGACACGGCCCAAACUCCUACGGGAGGCAGCAGUGGGGAAUCUUGCGCAAUGGGCGAAAGCCUGACGCAGCCAUGCCGCGUGAAUGAUGAAGGUCUUAGGAUUGUAAAAUUCUUUCACCGGGGACGAUAAUGACGGUACCCGGAGAAGAAGCCCCGGCUAACUUCGUGCCAGCAGCCGCGGUAAUACGAAGGGGGCUAGCGUUGCUCGGAAUUACUGGGCGUAAAGGGCGCGUAGGCGGACAUUUAAGUCAGGGGUGAAAUCCCAGAGCUCAACUCUGGAACUGCCUUUGAUACUGGGUGUCUUGAGUGUGAGAGAGGUAUGUGGAACUCCGAGUGUAGAGGUGAAAUUCGUAGA
rnacentral:rRNA from 1 species